rnacentral:lncRNA from 1 species
AUGACCCCUGCCGAGGUGCGUGCCCACCGGACCUCUGCCUGCGCAAGGCUGCCGCCUCCCCGCCUCCGCCCAGAUCCUCCCUCACAGGGCCUGGCACAGGGGCCAAGACUUGGGGGCGCACUUCCUCUCCUCCUCCCCUUCCUCCCGGCACCCCCAUCUCUUUGGGGGCAGAGCCUCUUCCCAAGUGGGGAGGGUCUCCCUCCUGUGGGUCCAUCUGAGUUUCAGGCUUUCUUUGGGGGGAGGGAGGGGCGCACCCGGCAGCUUUGCCUGUGCUGCCAUCAGCGGCCCCCAGACCCACCGUUCAAGGCCUGUCGCCUCCCCCCCCAGACUGGCCCUCCCAACCUCAGGCCCCAGCCGGCACGGCCCCACCUCGGUUCCCUCCUGGCCCUGCUUCCCCUCCCGCUAUCCUCCCAAAAACCCCAAGGGGGUCUUGGGCACCGCAGCCCCCAUCGGCCCAGAGGUGGGGGCGUCGCUUUCUGGGGGCAGGCCUUGUGGCGGCCACGGCCACGGCUCACCACCACCCCCGAGGGACCAGACCUUUUUCUCUCCCCUCCCCCCCCAGUGAAGGGAAGGACUAACGUGAAGAUCAAUGAGAAAUACCUCUCCCCGGACCCCCAGGCGGGGGGCAGGGGGCCCACCGGCCAGUCCACUCCCGCCUCCAAGGUGCUCUCGCCCAGCGGCUCCAGCCUCAGCCUCUACAGCAGUGCCUCUGCCCCCAGCAGCCCCCUCCCCAGGAAGUCCGUCCUGCGGAGGACACGCUCCGGGGACCGUUCUCUCCACUCGUGCAGCUCUCUCCUCCCUGAUGGGGCUGAACUGACCUUCGUGGGAACUGCCCAGGAGGGAAGCGACCCCGACGGGGCUCCCACGGAGGCUGAGCCGCCACCAGAACACGCCCAGGGGUGUCUCACAAGCCGAGCGGCCCCCUUGGCCACACGGGAUGGCUCUCGGGGCUGUGGCUCGCUCUGAAAGCAGCACGAAUAAAAGCUGGGAGUUCUGGCUUGGUCA